rnacentral:tRNA from 1 species
ACAUUGGUGGUUCAGUGGUAGAACUCUCACCUUCCAUUCAGGAAACCCGGCUUCAAUUUCCGGCCAAUGCG